GAGUUUGAUCGUGGCUCAGAACGAACGCUGGCGGCAGGCUUAACACAUGCAAGUCGAACGCCGUAGCAAUACGGAGUGGCAGACGGGUGAGUAACACGUGGGAACGUGCCCUAAGGUACGGAACAACUCCGGGAAACUGGAGCUAAUACCGUAUGUGCCCGAGAGGGGAAAGAUUUAUCGCCUUAGGAUCGGCCCGCGUCUGAUUAGCUAGUUGGUGGGGUAAUGGCCUACCAAGGCUACGAUCAGUAGCUGGUCUGAGAGGAUGAUCAGCCACAUUGGGACUGAGACACGGCCCAAACUCCUACGGGAGGCAGCAGUGGGGAAUAUUGGACAAUGGGCGCAAGCCUGAUCCAGCCAUGCCGCGUGAGUGAUGAAGGCCUUAGGGUUGUAAAGCUCUUUCGCCAGGGACGAUAAUGACGGUACCUGGAUAAGAAGCCCCGGCUAACUUCGUGCCAGCAGCCGCCG
rnacentral:rRNA from 1 species